UGGGGAAUAUUGCGCAAUGGGGGAAACCCUGACGCAGCGACGCCGCGUGUGGGAUGAAGGUCUUCGGAUUGUAAACCACUGUCGCGAGGGACGAAGCUCUGACGGUACCUCGAAAGGAAGCACCGGCUAACUCUGUGCCAGCAGCCGCGGUAAUACAGAGGGUGCGAGCGUUGUCCGGAAUCACUGGGCGUAAAGGGCGCGUAGGCGGCCCGGUAAGUAGGGGGUGAAAUCUCAUGGCUCAACUGUGAGGCUGCCUUCUAGACUGCCAGGCUUGAGCACAGUAGAGGCGAGUGGAAUUCCCGGUGUAGCGGUGGAAUGCGUAGAGAUCGGGAAGAACAUCGGUGGCGAAGGCGGCUCGCUGGGCUGUUGCUGACGCUGAGGCGCGAAAGCGUGGGGAG
rnacentral:rRNA from 1 species